GAUGAACGCUGGCGGCGUGCCUAAUACAUGCAAGUCGAGCGGACUUGAUGGGAGCUUGCUCCCUGAUAGUCAGCGGCGGACGGGUGAGUAACACGUGGGCAACCUACCUUUAAGACUGGGAUAACUUCGGGAAACCGGAGCUAAUACCGGAUAACAUGUAAGACCACAUGGUCUUACAUUAAAAGAUGGCUUCGGCUAUCACUUAUAGAUGGGCCCGCGGCGCAUUAGCUAGUUGGUGAGGUAAUGGCUCACCAAGGCGACGAUGCGUAGCCGACCUGAGAGGGUGAUCGGCCACACUGGGACUGAGACACGGCCCAGACUCCUACGGGAGGCAGCAGUAGGGAAUCUUCCGCAAUGGACGAAAGUCUGACGGAGCAACGCCGCGUGAACGAUGAAGGCUUUCGGGUCGUAAAGUUCUGUUGUUAGGGAAGAACAAGUACCAGAGUAACUGCUGGUACCUUGACGGUACCUAACCAGAAAGCCACGGCUAACUACGUGCCAGCAGCCGCGGUAAUACGUAGGUGGCAAGCGUUAUCCGGAAUUAUUGGGCGUAAAGCGCUCGCAGGCGGUCUUUUAAGUCUGAUGUGAAAGCCCACGGCUCAACCGUGGAGGGUCAUUGGAAACUGGGAGACUUGAGUGCAGAAGAGGAGAGUGGAAUUCCACGUGUAGCGGUGAAAUGCGUAGAGAUGUGGAGGAACACCAGUGGCGAAGGCGACUCUCUGGUCUGUAACUGACGCUGAGGAGCGAAGGCGUGGGGAGCGAACAGGAUUAGAUACCCUGGUAGUCCACGCCGUAAACGAUGAGUGCUAAGUGUUAGAGGGUUUCCGCCCUUUAGUGCUGCAGCUAACGCAUUAAGCACUCCGCCUGGGGAGUACGGUCGCAAGACUGAAACUCAAAGGAAUUGACGGGGGCCCGCACAAGCGGUGGAGCAUGUGGUUUAAUUCGAAGCAACGCGAAGAACCUUACCAGGUCUUGACAUCCUUAUGACUUCCCUAGAGAUAGGGCUUUCCCUUCGGGGACAUAAGUGACAGGUGGUGCAUGGUUGUCGUCAGCUCGUGUCGUGAGAUGUUGGGUUAAGUCCCGCAACGAGCGCAACCCUUGAUCUUAGUUGCCAGCAUUCAGUUGGGCACUCUAAGGUGACUGCCGGUGACAAACCGGAGGAAGGUGGGGAUGACGUCAAAUCAUCAUGCCCCUUAUGACCUGGGCUACACACGUGCUACAAUGGAUGGUACAAAGGGCAGCAAAACCGCGAGGUUAAGCGAAUCCCAUAAAACCAUUCUCAGUUCGGAUUGCAGGCUGCAACUCGCCUGCAUGAAGCUGGAAUCGCUAGUAAUCGCGGAUCAGCAUGCCGCGGGUGAAUACGUUCCCGGGCCUUGUACACACCGCCCGGUCACACCACGAGAGUUUGUAACACCCGAAGUCGGUGGGGUAACCGUAAGGAGCCAGCCGCCUAAGGUGGGACAGAUGAUUGGGGUG
rnacentral:rRNA from 1 species